CUACGGAGGGUGCAAGCGUUAUUCGGAAUCACUGGGCGUAAAGGACGCGUAGGCGGGUUGGCAAGUCAGAUGUGAAAUCCUACAGCUUAACUGUAGAACUGCACUUGAAACUGCUAACCUAGAGUAUGGGAGGGGGAGAUGGAAUUAGUGGUGUAGGGGUAAAAUCCGUAGAUAUCACUAGGAAUACCGAAAGCGAAGGCGAUCUCCUGGAACAUAACUGACGCUAAGGCGUGAAAGCGUGGGGAGCGAACAGGAUUAGAAACCCUAGUAGUCC
rnacentral:rRNA from 1 species